UACGUAGGGUGCGAGCGUUGUCCGGAAUUAUUGGGCGUAAAGAGCUCGUAGGCGGUUUGUCGCGUCUGCUGUGAAAACCCGAGGCUCAACCUCGGGCCUGCAGUGGGUACAGGCAGACUAGAGUGCGGUAGGGGAGAUUGGAAUUCCUGGUGUAGCGGUGGAAUGCGCAGAUAUCAGGAGGAACACCGAUGGCGAAGGCAGAUCUCUGGGCCGUAACUGACGCUGAGGAGCGAAAAGCGUGGGGAGCGAACAGG
rnacentral:rRNA from 1 species